rnacentral:lncRNA from 1 species
UGAGAAAAACUUACUAUUUAUGGUAAUGUAAAGAAAUGAGAGGGACAUCCAAAAAUAGUAACUGUAAACAAAUGAGAGGGAUAGAGAGGGAGUAGUCUUUUGGGUCUAGUUCAUUCGAGUCUUCCUCUAUAUUGGACAUUUGGACGCUGCCUUGGUUUUGUGUAACUAUAUACGAUCACGCAUCUAACAAGUGAGAUCAGGCCCAGCCCAAUUUAUGUCCAUCCUUGACUCCUUGUGAUCGAAUUAAAUGUUUUGGACUUGCCGGGUAAUGGGAUACUGUAUACAUACUUGAGCCCACUACGUAAAGUUAUGAAUGUGUUUCAGCCCAUUGUCUGAUUGAAUAAAUUCGAUAAAAUAAUAUUUUCCUUAUAAAAGAUUUAACGGUACUUGGUUCCUCCGUCUUAAGCUGAACUAAUUCAAACUUCAAAUAAAAUAAUAAAUAUUUGGUGGAUGAAUAAUUUUGAUGAUAAUUUCUUUUUUCCUAUCGCCUUAAUAUAAAUAGUAUAUCGCAUGGUCUAAAAUAUCUCGGUAAAUCACACUCGCUAGGUCAUCUUUCUUAAUUAUAACCCUCUUCACCAGGACGGGUACUAAAGAUUCAGAUAUCAUAACUGAAUUUUUUAAAAAAAGAAAUUUUUAUAAAGAAAUUUUUUAUACAUAUAUACUCAAAUCAUGACAUUAAUAUAUAUAUAUAUAUAUAUAAUAUUAAAAUAUGUAUUUAUAUUCAAAUAAACGUCCAAAUAUUAAAAUUAUAUACAUUCAUAAAUUUAUUAUAUGAUACACAUAUAGAUUUUGGUACCUCUCUUUAUGAGAGUGGAACCAUAACCAAUCUUGUGUUCGCUUUGUCCGUGCCAACUGCAUCUCUCGCAUGUAAUUUAAAUCUUCAGAUUAUGAUAUAUACUUGAACCAGUGAAUAAAGUCGCGCUUCGCGGCGGCGCUAUAAAUUUUGUAUAAAUUUUGAUAAGAAUUAAUAUUAUGAUAGUAUAAAAAUUAUUUUGAGUCAUCUUCCAGUUAAACUUAUCACUAAUAAAAAAAAUUAUAAUUAGUAUAAUUUAUUUUUAAGUGGUCAUCCUGUCAAACACAAUACUAUUAAUCUAUAAUUUUUAUUUUAUGAUAAAAUUAAAUAUUACAGUAUAAUUUAGAUCAAAAUUAAUUUGAGCCGCUCUUUUGUCAAACACAAUACUAAUAAAAAUUAUUCUAAUUAUGAUAAAAUUAAAGAUUAUAAUUGGACAAAAAUUAUUUUAAACUGUGGUCCUGUUUUAACAAAUAAUAUAUUAUAACAUCGAUAAAAAAAUUAUUUUAGCCGCUUUCCCGUCAAACAUAAUACUAAUAGAAAAAUUAUUAUUAUUUAGAUAAAAAUUAGUUUAGGCCGCCUCCCGCACCCGUCAAACACAAUACUAAUCAAGAAUCAUUUACAUUAUCAUAAAAUCAAUAUAUGAUUCCUAUUUUAUAUAUCCUAUUUUAUUUUAUUAAUUAUUUUUAUUUUGUGAAUCUUAUUUAUUAGUUGAAAAUAAUUAUUCUUUUAUGUUUCCAAUUUUUUGCUAUUAGUUUUUUCUAAUGAUUAUAAUCUUCACAAUCCUUUAUUUUCUAUUCGAAAUUUAAGAAAAUUAUAAGACUAAAUUGAAAAUAAAUAUUGUACGUAUUACCUUACAAAUAUUAAAUAUAAGUUGUAUUUUAUCUAUGAUUGUUAGUUUAAAUAAAUAUAAAGAUUAUUCUAAUUAUGAUAAAAUUAAAGAUUAUGAUUGGAUAAAAAUUAUUUUGAACCGUAGUCCCGUUUUAAUAAGAAAAUAUAUUAUAAUAUAUAUAUAAAAAAUUAUUUUAGCCACUUUCCCGUGAUACAUAAUACUAAUAGAAUUUUUUUCAUUGUUUAGAUGAAAAUCAGUUUAGGCCGCCUCCUGUGGCCGACAAACACAAUACUAAUCAAGAAUCAUUUACAUUAUCAUAAAAUCAAUAUAUGAUUCCUAUUUUAUAUAUCCUAUUUUAUUUUAUUAAUUAUUUUUAUUUUAUGAUUCCUAUUUUUUAGUUAAAAAUUAUUAUUCUUUUAUGGUUCUAAUUUUUUUUUUGCUGUUAUUUUUAAUGAUUAUUAUUUUUACAAUCCUUUAUUUUCUACUCGAAAUUUAAGAAAAUUAUAAGAGUAAAUUGUCUAAACGGAUUUGUAGCACUAAACUCACGUCGUUCCAUAAUGGUCAAGAAGAUAGCAUCUCUACCAUGAAAACAUCUUCAACAUCUUCACAACCUCAUUCAAAUAGUAUGCAUGGACUUACGACCAAUCUCGAUAAUAGUUGGAUUCAAUCUUAUAAUUUUCUUAAAUUUUGAAUAGAAACUAAAAUUAUAAUUCAAAAAAUCAAAUUCACGGAUCUUAAAGGUAAUACAAUUCUUUUUUUUAUUGGAUUGUAAAAAAAUAAAUUUUUUUUCUUAUAAUUUUCUUAAAUUUCGGAUUGAAAAUAUAAUUAUAAUUUAAAAAAUCAGGUUAAAGGAUUUCAAUGUGCAUCGUUUAAAUUAGUUUGGGCCGCAUCCCGUGCCCAUCAAACACAAUACUAAUCAGGAAUCAUUUACAUUAUUAUAAAAUCAAUAUAUGAUUCCUAUUUUAUAUAUCCUAUUUUUUUUGUAAUUGUUUUAUGUAUCCUAUUUUAUUUGUUAAUUAUUUUUAUUUUAUGAUUCCUAUUUAUUAGUCAAAAAUUAAUAUUCUUUUAUAGUUCUAUUUUUUUGCUAUUAGUUUUUUUUAAUGAUUAUCAUCUUUACAAUCCCUUAUUUUCAAUUCGAAAUUUAAAAAAAAAUUAUAAAACUAAAUCGGGAAAAAUAAUUAUACGUAUUUUCCUUACAAAUCUCAAAUAUAAAUUGUAUUUUAUCUAUGAUUUUUAGUUUAAAUAAAUAUAAUCCUAUUCCUUUUAGGAUUCCUAGAUAAGAAAAGAAUUGUAAUUGUAUUAACUUUUGGAAUCCUUCAACUUGAUUUUUUUAAAUUAUAAUUAUAUCUUUUAUCCGAUUUAAGAAAAGUAUAAGGAAAGAAUUUUCUUAUUUUUAGAAUCGAAUAAAAAAAGAAUUGUAUUACCUUUAAUAUCCUUGAACUUGUUAAUAACUCAUGAAUCAUUAAUAAAUCAAAAUUAUUUAAAAAUACAUUUUAACUUUUAAGUCACUGGAUCAUGUUAAGGUAAAUCUUGACUGAAUUAAAUUUUUUUAAGCAUUUUUUAAUUGAAAUUAUCCAUAAAUUAUUUUUUUAUCAUAAAAAAUUAAAUUUAUCCAAACAAAUAUUUUAAACUUGAAAAUUUUAAUUUCAGUCAAACUGCCUCAUAUUUCAGAAGUUUCAUGUCCCCAUUUUAUAAUAAAAAAAUAAGUAAUACUUAAACAAUUAUGUUAUAUACAUGAUUGAAUUUUAGAAUAUUUAUAUAUAUAUAUAUAUAAUUUGAAAAGAAUUAAUAAGAUAAGACUAUAAUUUUAUGUCUUUCGAAAAUAAGAAUUAUGUUAUAUUAAAUAAAUAAAAUCAUACUCCUUUUACGAAUCUUGAAUAAGAAAAAGAAUUGUAUUACCUUUGCAACCCUUGAACCUCAUUUUUAAAUUUUAAUAUUAUUUUUCAUUCAAAAUUUAUGAAAAUUAUUUGUUAGAUAUAUGAUUUGAUAUUUUUUUAAUAAAAUAACACUAUAAGUUUUAUAACUUUUGAAAAUAAGAAUUGUAUUUUUAACAUGAUUUUUAGGUUAUAAUUUUAUUUUCAAUUUAAAAUUUAAUUAAGAAAAUUAUAAGACUAAAUUCAUUAAUUCUAGGCACGUUGAGUUAGUAUUAUAUUAUUCUUCUAUAUAUCUUAUUGAAAAUAAAAUUUUAUAAUAUAAAUUUCGACUACAUCUUCUAUAUAUCUUAUCGAAAAUAAGAAUUGUACAUAUUACCUUACAGAUCUUAAAUAUAAAUUGUAUUUUAUCUAUUAUUAUUAGUUUGAAUAAAUAUAAUUCUAUUUCUUUUAGGAUUACUGAAUAAGAAAAGAAUUGUAUCAUCUUUAGAAUUCAAUAAGAAAUACUAAAUAAAAAAAAAUGGUAACAUCUUUAGAAUUCAAUAAUAAAAGAAUUGUAUUACUUUUAGAAUUCUUGAACCUGAUUUUUUGAAUUAUAAUUAUAUUUUCUAUCCGAAAUUUAAGAAAAAUCAGAAGACUGAAUCGAACAAUUCUAGAGACGCCCGCAUCCUCCUUUAUAUAUAUAUCUUAUCGAAAAUAAGAAUUGUACAUAUUACCUUACAGAUCUUAAAUAUAAAUUGUAUUUUAUCUAUUAUUAUUAGUUUGAAUAAAUAUAAUUCUAUUUCUUUUAGGAUUACUGAAUGAGAAAAGAAUUGUAUCAUCUUUAGAAUUCAAUAAGAAAUACUAAAUAAAAAAUAAUGGUAACAUCUUUAGAAUUCAAUAAGAAAUACUAAAUAAAAAAUAAUGGUAACAUCUUUAGAAUUCAAUAAAAAAAGAAUUGUAUUACCUUUAGAAUUCUUGAACAUGAUUUUUUGAAUUAUAAUUAUAUUUUCUAUCCGAAAUUUAAGAAAAAUCAGAAGACUGAAUCGAACAAUUCUAGAGACGCCCGCAUCCUCCUUUAUAUAUAUAUCUUAUUGAAAAUAAGAAUUGUACAUAUUACCUUACGGAUCUUAAAUAUAAAUUGUAUUUUAUCUAUUAUUAUUAGUUUGAAUAAAUAUAAUUCUAUUUCUUUUAAGAUUACUGAAUGAGAAAAGAAUUGUAUCAUCUUUAGAAUUCAAUAAGAAAUACUAAAUAAAAAAAUAAUGGUAACAUCUUUAGAAUUCAAUAAAAAAAGAAUUGUAUUACCUUUAGAAUUCUUGAACAUGAUUUUUUGAAUUAUAACUAUAUUUUCUAUUCGAAAUUUAAGAAAAAUCAGAAGACUGAAUCGAGCAAUUCUAGAGACGCCUGCAUCCUCCUUUAUAUAUAUAUAUUGAUGAUUGAUUGAUGGCAAAACGUCGUAAUGAUCUAUGCUUAGAGAGCGGGUCGUGCUGUUAUGAGAUCAACAGAGAGAUGAUUCAUAAUCAACAAUUAUAAUUAAAAAUAAAAAAUAAUUAACGCACAAGUAACAACAAACCUAGCUAGAUGGAGAGGCUCUACAAUAUAUUAGAAAAAAUUUUGAUUUCCCAUAUAAAUUAAUAUAUUCAUUUAUAAUACCUGUUACGUGUUUUAAGCAAAGAAAACUAUUCUUUUGGAAGAAAAUUAAAGUUUUCGAAACAAAGUUAGACAGAUAAAAUGCAUUACAAUGAUAUUCAUAUGAUGGGUUUUUUUUUCUUUUUUCUUUUUAAAAAUACGGAGGGACAUUUGUCUGGAUAGAAAAGGGAAAAUUUUAUUUUCUUACAUCAAUAAAAAGCGUAGGCAACCCAAUCUAAUUUAAAUAAUAUUAAUUAUUAACGAUUAUAUAAUAUAAUCGUUAAUAAUAUUACGAACUUGCAAAAUGGGUUGGUAUUGGGUCUUUCUUUCACACUUGGCGGCAUGGGGAUAUAAUGACUGCCUGCCGUAUUUGUUGUUUGGUUUAAGAAUGUUAUCAAUGCAUCAAUCUCUAUCCAUCACCUUCAAUUCUUGUUUGGUGGUGAGCACACUUUAUCUCUGAUGUCAAUACUUGAAUGAGUGUUCGUCACAUGGACUCGCUAGUUUCACCACCAUUCAUUUCGCCUAGGUCUGCUGUUUUCCAUAACCGAUUUAAAGUGACUACUCCUAUAUAUCUUCAAAUCAACGCAACAUGCAAGCUCUUACAUAUAUGCCAAUAAUGGGGUUUCCUACCUAUUUUUGAUCGCUUGAUGACUACUCUACCCUCAUCAUGUUAACGAUUUAAGACAUUUUUCGGUGGUACAAUUAUAUAUUUGAAAGAAAAAUAAAUUAUUCAGGGAUAAGUUAAGUGAUCAUAUCUAGAAGCUCUUAGUAAUAAGAGAGGAAUUAGGAAAGUUGUUAAUAUUUUAAAGAUCCUAGUGGGAGGCUAUUGGAGAGCAAGUUUUGUUGCAAAUUUAUGAUGUUACAACUAAGAAAUUAGUACGGAGUAUAUACAACAGAACUCACUAUAUCACUCUCGAGCAAAUUAUAUUAUCUGUUCACAAAAAAUGGGGCGUGACUCCAAUAUAAAGAACUCACAUUUAGUGUUAAAUUUGGGAUUAGAUUAGAAUGAGAGUGGGCGACAGCCAAAUGCAUACCAUAAUAGUGGGACUAUAGCGCUCAGUGGUGUAUUUCCUACUGGACCAUAUCGCAAUGUGGGGACUCGGCCUUCUCUUUUCAUGUGCAUACACUCAUUUCAGACCCCAGCAAUUCCUAUAAAUAGGCGUUUCAUUUCCUGCUAUUGCCAUCAGAGUUGGCUUUUGAAUCCUAACUUAUAAGUUAUUCAAAUGGCAACUUAUAAAGUUUCGAGUUUGGUUUUUGUUGUUUUGUUAGGUCUGGGGAUAUGUUCUGCUACUAGAGCUCUUUUUGGUUAUGAGGAGAGUGUAGCUGGAUAUGCACAUGGGGGAGUGGAUGUUGGACUUAGUGGUGGUGGCGGAGGGGGUGGUGGUCAUGGCGGUGGAGGAGGAGCUGGGUAUGGAGCGGGGGGAGAGCAUGGUGCGGGGUAUGGAAGUGGGGGUGGUGAAGGCGGUGGUGCUGGGUAUGGAGGUGGGAAAGGAGUUGGAGGCGGCGGUGGUGGAGGUGGUGGAAGUGGUGGUGGAGGUGGCGGUGGUGCUGGUGGUGCGCAUGGUGGUGGAUAUGGAGGUGGUGAGGGUGGUGGUAGCGGCAGUGGUGCUGGAUAUGGUGGUGCAGGGGGAGCUGGCGGUGGAGGAGGAGGUGGUCAUGGUGGUGGUGGCGGUGGAGGUUCUGGUGCUGGGGGAGCUGGAGGGAGUGGGUAUGGAAGCGGUGGGGGUUCUGGUGCAGGUGGUGGCUCAGGAGCAGGAGGAUAUGGCGGUGCAGCUGGGGGUGGAGGCGGUGGAGGCUCAGGUGGCGGCGGUGGAGGUGGUUACGGAGCAGCUGGAGGUGAGCAUGGGGCUGGUUAUGGAAGUGGCUCCGGGAGUGGAGAAGGUGGUGGACACGGUGGCUAUGCACCAUGAAAAAACAAUGCAUGCACUAAUAUAUGAAAAAUAAGAUUUAAUACAAAUGCGUGUAAGUUAUUGAUGUAUGAUGCAAGCAUCCAUGCAAAUGCUGCAAUAUGAAGAGCUUCAAACUCACUCUGUAAUCUCUUCUGAUCACUAAAGUUCUACUAUAUUUUUACUUAUCUCCUCUGCAAUAUCGAACAUAAAUUGAACUUACAAUAUUUAUUUAAGAACAGUACUUGUGAUAUCUCAUCAUAACCAUCC